GUGUCAGCAGCCGCGGUAAUACGUAGGGGGCAAGCGUUGUCCGGAAUUAUUGGGCGUAAAGCGCGCGCAGGCGGCUUCUUAAGUUUGGUGUUUAAGCCCAGGGCUCAACCCUGGUUCGCACUGAAAACUGGGAGGCUUGAGUGCAGGAGAGGAAAGUGGAAUUCCACGUGUAGCGGUGAAAUGCGUAGAGAUGUGGAGGAACACCAGUGGCGAAGGCGACUUUCUGGACUGUAACUGACGCUGAGGCGCGAAAGCGUGGGGAGCAAACAGGAUUAGAAACCCGUGUAGUCC
rnacentral:rRNA from 1 species